GAAGACAUGAGACCUUUGGAAAGGUCUCAUGGACCUUU
rnacentral:miRNA from 1 species